CGCCCGCUGCCGGUUUAGCUGAAGUGAGGUGGAAUGAAGAUGGCGGAGUGAGGGUCUGUUAGGCUAUGUGGCCUCAGGGCCGGGGGCACACAGGCCCCCGAGAGGGCACUUACCUCUGUUGGGUCGUGUGAGGUGAGCUGAGAAGACUGAUGACGGGAGGAUCCUUAUCAUACAAGAAGAUUUUCUUGACCUUUAGGUGCUCAAAACAAUUCUAAACUCAGGAUUGGCAAGUAUUUCUGCAUUGUCUUCUAGACCAGCGGUUCUUUUACUCACCCUCUUCCCUGGAUAGAGGACAUGGAUAUCUUUCUGCACAUCACCUCCAUGGUUUGGAAUGAAAAAGAUGGCUUUGUUUUGUUCCAUCUCUCAGCUUCAACACAGAGAAACCCUUAGGAUGCAGUUAUCUUGUGACUUCUCCUGGAAAACCCCUCAGCUGACAUGGGGUUUCAGCUGUGGUUUUCUUAAUUAUAAAGAAAUUAUUUUCCAAGCUGAAGACAUAAAUGUUUAAUUUUAAACAGGUGCUUAGGUCAUGAUAUUUGUGAAUUCUUUCACUUUGUUUCAAACAAGAAGAAUAUAUAAACAACAAGUAUGGAUGACUUCAGGGGUUCUUAAAAAUGUCUUCCAGCUUCGGCCACUAUCUGAGAAGCACAGUUAAGACUACAGCAGUAACUUCCAAAUAGUCAUUGUGAUUUGAAAUGAAAGAUAUGUUAAAAUGUUACAUAUAUCAUGAAAUCCUGGGUUAUCCUGACAUCGGUUUACUGGAGGCGAACAAAGGUCCACUUUUGUAAUUAAACCUUUGAUAUUAUAAAGAAGUAUGAAGAUAUUAAGGCUGAUUGCCUAUGUAAAUAAACCAUCAGUUUCUGUAGAUACACAUUUUACACAUGUAAACCCACAUUUUUGAACAAAAGAAUUUUUUUCUCCUAGAGAGGGAUGAUGUUAACUUCUUUUCUAGAAGUUUUUGAAAUUCAAUAUAUAAAAUUUUUUUUUUCAUUCAUAGGAUCAACUUGCACAGCAGCUAAUCCUGUGAAAUGCAUGUUUUCACUUAGUUGAAAGCAUGAUAAAAGAAAACAAGAGUUUGAGCCCAGUGACGGAAUUCUAUUUACUUAUUUAAGCUGAAAAAUAGCUACUAUGUGACAAAUUCUUCAUCCCUUUUUGGAGUCAGUCAUACAUAGCACAUGAAACUUCAUUUUCCUUUUGGUGAAGGCCAGAAGAAAAGUGCCACAAGAUAUAAUGGGCCCUGUUGUACAGACUGCCCUCAACUCUGUGCACACGGAGGUGUAGAGAUAAAAUGAGAAAAAUAUCUGUAGACCUUGCUCCUAAGAAAAACAAGCAAAAUGUCUUAUGUAGCACCAUCUGAGUUUUGACCUAUUUUAUAAAGCUCCAUUUUUUAUGAACUUUUUCUUUGACAUAGGAUGGGCACUUAAUGUUUUAUUUUUCUAGGCAAUAGGUAUAUUAGGCUGAAAAGGCUAGAACUCAGGUAACUAUCCCUACUUAGAACUGAGCUUUCUCCUCAGAGAAUAAGUCAGAAAUAAUGUUCCCAAGUCUGUGGCUGAUCAUUAUAGAUUUAGAAGAAAUUUAGGAUCUAAAGAAAACCUCCAGAAGACUAGUUCCAAUAAUAAUUAGUGGUCUGCCUGAUUUUUUCCUUCAUAAUUAAUUCUAUCAUGAACACACUAUCUUAGAACCCUGUCCCUCCAAAUAACAGGACCGUUGUAUGAGAUGUCAGAUCUCCACAUAAGAAGAGCAAAACCUUUAUUUUUGAUUCUUUGUGAGAAGAAUUUUAAACUUGUUAGAUCAUUUCUCUGUUUUGUGGAUUAGUUCCCCAAGGUACUAACGAUGCUGGGAAUUUUAGGUAGGUUUACCAAAAUUUCAGAGUGAUAGAAAUAACCAAAAAUGGGAACUGUUGAAUACUGUAAUGGUUAGAUUAGUCAACCUACUUGAAUGGGGAAAAAAAGUCAUAAAACACAUAGUAUAGAUAAAAUAUAACUUUUUUUUUUUUAUUUUA